GAUGAAGAACGCAGUGAAAUGCGAUAAGUAAUGUGAAUUGCAGAAUUCAGUGAAUCAUCGAAUCUUUGAACGCACCUUGCGCCCCUUGGUUAUUCCAAAGGGCAUGCCUGUUUGAGUAUCAUGAACACCUCAACUCUUGUGGUUUCCCACAAUGAGCUUGGACUGUGGAGGUUUUGUUGGCCCUGUGGUCAGCUCCUCUCAAAUGGAUCAGCUUACCGGUGUUUGGUGGCAUUACGGGUGUGAUAACUAUCUACGCUCGUGGUCGUCUCCAAAUAACCUCCAGUGAUGGAGGUUCGCUGGAGCUUAUAAAUGUCUCUCCCCAGUGAAGACAGCCUUUGAACGUUCGAUCUCAAAUCAGGUAGGACUACCCGCUGAACUUAAGCAUAUCAAUAACCGGAGGA
rnacentral:misc_RNA from 1 species